CAAAAACAUCGCCUCUUGAACAAAAAUAAGAGGUCCAGCCUGCCCAGUGACUAAUGUUCAACGGCCGCGGUAUCCUAACCGUGCGAAGGUAGCGUAAUCACUUGUUCUUUAAAUGAGGACUAGUAUGAACGGCACCACGAGGGUUAUACUGUCUCCUCUUUCUAAUCAGUGAAACUAAUCCCCCCGUGAAGAAGCGGGGAUAAAACUAUAAGACGAGAAGACCCUAUGGAGCUUUAAAUUUACCUUCAAGCGCCAAAAUUAGAUACCAAGUUUUUAACUUCACCAUAUGAACUCUCGCGCCAUGGGGGCAACUUUUAGGUUGGGGUGACCAUGGAGUAUAAAACAACCUCCAUGCUGAAUAGGCCUCCAAGCCUCGAGCCAAGGGCUACGACCCACCGCACUAAAACACUAACAUCCAUUGAUCCAAUGUACUUUGAUCAACGAACCAAGUUACCCUAGGGAUAACAGCGCAAUCUACUUCAAGAGUUCCUAUCGACAAGUGGGUUUACGACCUCGAUGUUGGAUCAGGGUGUCCCAGUGGUGCAGCCGCUACUAAUGGUUCG
rnacentral:rRNA from 1 species